ACCACUUCGGUGGGGAUUAGUGGCGAACGGGUGAGUAACACGUGGGCAAUCUGCCCUGCACUCUGGGACAAGCCCUGGAAACGGGGUCUAAUACCGGAUAUGACCAUCUUGGGCAUCCUUGAUGGUGUAAAGCUCCGGCGGUGCAGGAUGAGCCCGCGGCCUAUCAGCUUGUUGGUGAGGUAACGGCUCACCAAGGCGACGACGGGUAGCCGGCCUGAGAGGGCGACCGGCCACACUGGGACUGAGACACGGCCCAGACUCCUACGGGAGGCAGCAGUGGGGAAUAUUGCACAAUGGGCGCAAGCCUGAUGCAGCGACGCCGCGUGAGGGAUGACGGCCUUCGGGUUGUAAACCUCUUUCAGCAGGGAAGAAGCGAAAGUGACGGUACCUGCAGAAGAAGCGCCGGCUAACUACGUGCCAGCAGCCGCGGUAAUACGUAGGGCGCGAGCGUUGUCCGGAAUUAUUGGGCGUAAAGAGCUCGUAGGCGGCUUGUCACGUCGGUUGUGAAAGCCCGGGGCUUAACCCCGGGUCUGCAGUCGAUACGGGCAGGCUAGAGUUCGGUAGGGGAGAUCGGAAUUCCUGGUGUAGCGGUGAAAUGCGCAGAUAUCAGGAGGAACACCGGUGGCGAAGGCGGAUCUCUGGGCCGAUACUGACGCUGAGGAGCGAAAGCGUGGGGAGCGAACAGGAUUAGAUACCCUGGUAGUCCACGCCGUAAACGGUGGGCACUAGGUGUGGGCAACAUUCCACGUUGUCCGUGCCGCAGCU
rnacentral:rRNA from 1 species